AUGGCCUGGACUCCUCUGCUCCUCGCGCUCCUCUCUCUCUGCACAGGGUCCCUCUCCCAGCCUGUGCUGACCCAGCCGCCCUCCCUCUCUGCAUCUCCGGGAGCCACAGCCAGACUCACCUGCACCCUGAGCAGUGGCUUCAAUGUUGGCAGCUACAGGAUAUACUGGUACCAGCAGAAGCCAGGGAGCCCUCCCCGGUAUCUCCUGUACUACUACUCAGACUCAGAUAAGGGUCAGGGCUCUGGGGUCCCCAGCCGCUUCUCUGGAUCCAAAGACGCCUCGGCCAAUGCGGGGCUCCUGCUCAUCUCGGGGCUGCAGCCUGAGGACGAGGCUGACUAUUACUGUCACACAUGGGACGACAGCUCUAAGACUCACACAGUGGUCCAGACCCACAGGGAAGGACUCCGCAUGGAGAACCUGUGGUCACGUCUCUACGUGGACGUUAAAGCCUCUGAUGAGAGGAGACCAGCUCCCAGGCUGGGAGGGCCUCGCCGAGUUACCAUGGCUGCUCACCUGGCCUUGGAGACGCCCCUGAGCGAGUUCCUGGAAACUCACCCCCAUCGUGACCUGAACAGCCCCCAUGAGCCCCGCCAGCCGGAUCGACGCCUCAUCACGUGUGAUGUGGGAUCAGAGCUCACUGGGCACGAACUUGGCAGCAUCUUCCUGGACUGA